rnacentral:lncRNA from 1 species
UUAACUGAAUUUUUUCAGUUUUACCCGAAUUUUGCACACCCCUAGCCAACAAUAUGUAAUCUUUAGCAAAAGAGAGAAAAAUGAGAGGACAUCACCAAAAAUGCAAUAGCUGAAAAUGGUUAUUUCUGACGCUACAAGACUCGGAUGAAAAAUCCGACUGUUCAAAGUCAAGAACACCUUAUCACCUAGCUGUUGCCCAAAAAUCAGCUCAAUCGAACCACGGAUGGACCUUCGAUCGAAGAGUUGAUCACUGCUACACCAAAUUUAAAAAAUUGAUUUUUUCUCUUCUCUCUUUCUCUCUGUUUGAAAUUGA